rnacentral:rRNA from 2 species
GACGAACGCUGGCGGCAUGCCUAAUACAUGCAAGUCGAACGAGCUUCCGUUGAAUGACGUGCUUGCACUGAUUUCAACAAUGAAGCGAGUGGCGAACUGGUGAGUAACACGUGGGAAAUCUGCCCAGAAGCAGGGGAUAACACUUGGAAACAGGUGCUAAUACCGUAUAACAACAMAAUCCGCAUGGAUUUUGUUUGAAAGGUGGCUUCGGCUAUCACUUCUGGAUGAUCCCGCGGCGUAUUAGUUAGUUGGUGAGGUAAAGGCCCACCAAGACRAUGAUACGUAGCCGACCUGAGAGGGUAAUCGGCCACAUUGGGACUGAGACACGGCCCAAACUCCUACGGGAGGCAGCAGUAGGGAAUCUUCCACAAUGGACGAAAGUCUGAUGGAGCAAUGCCGCGUGAGUGAAGAAGGGUUUCGGCUCGUAAAACUCUGUUGUUAAAGAAGAACACCUUUGAGAGUAACUGUUCAAGGGUUGACGGUAUUUAACCAGAAAGCCACGGCUAACUACGUGCCAGCAGCCGCGGUAAUACGUAGGUGGCAAGCGUUGUCCGGAUUUAUUGGGCGUAAAGCGAGCGCAGGCGGUUUUUUAAGUCUGAUGUGAAAGCCUUCGGCUUAACCGGAGAAGUGCAUCGGAAACUGGGAGACUUGAGUGCAGAAGAGGACAGUGGAACUCCAUGUGUAGCGGUGGAAUGCGUAGAUAUAUGGAAGAACACCAGUGGCGAAGGCGGCUGUCUAGUCUGUAACUGACGCUGAGGCUCGAAAGCAUGGGUAGCGAACAGGAUUAGAUACCCUGGUAGUCCAUGCCGUAAACGAUGAGUGCUAAGUGUUGGAGGGUUUCCGCCCUUCAGUGCUGCAGCUAACGCAUUAAGCACUCCGCCUGGGGAGUACGACCGCAAGGUUGAAACUCAAAGGAAUUGACGGGGGCCCGCACAAGCGGUGGAGCAUGUGGUUUAAUUCGAAGCUACGCGAAGAACCUUACCAG